rnacentral:rRNA from 1 species
AAAGGAAUUGACGGGGACCCGCACAAGCGGUGGAGCAUGUGGUUUAAUACGACGCUACGCGUGGAACCUUACCAAGGCUUGACAUGUAUUUGAAAUCCUAAUGAAAGUUAGGACCUGUCCUAAAGACACAGAUACACAGGUGUUGCAUGGCUGUCGUCAGUUCGUGUCGUGAGAUGUUGGGUUAAGUCCCGCAACGAGCGCAACCCCUGUCAGUAGUUGCUAACCCGCAAGGGUGCACUCUACUGAGACUGCCAGUGUUUAACUGGAGGAAGGUGGGGACGACGUCAAGUCAGUACGGCCCUUAUGCCUUGGGCUACACACGUGCUACAAUCCCCGCUACAAAGAGACGCGAUACCGUAAGGUGGAGCAAAUCUCAAAAAAGCGGGGCCAGUUCAGAUCGAGGGCUGCAAUUCGCCCUCGUGAAGCCGGAAUCGCUAGUAAUCGCGCAUCAGACACGGCGCGAUGAAUACGUUCCCGGGUCUUGUACACACCGCCCGU